UCUCCGCUCUUUUUCUAUUCUCUCACACAAUGCAUCUUAUUUCCUCUUCCUUCGGUCAUACGAUUCAAACCCUAAAAAUCAGAUGGAUGCUUCCCUUCAACGAUUCCAUUGAGAAAACCCUAAAAUCUUCCAUACGUUUUUGGCUUUUCACAUACGCUUGGUCAUAACCCUCUCUCUCAUCCUCUCAAAAUCAUUCAAACGGCGAAUCCUCUCCUGCGAAACCCUAAUCGGCGAUUCCUGUCCUCACGGAGAGCGGCAAUAACAACCUCUACAGAUCUCCUUAUAUCUUUCACGUAGCGAACCCUAUCAUUCAUCACUCUCUCAAUCGUUCUGAUCUUCUACUGGUAACUAACAUUUUUCAUGCUUGCUUUUAUCGUGUUUUACCCUACUUUUGCUUUGAUUUUAUGUUUGUAAACAAAUAUUCCAGAUUUUUUGUGUAUCGGAACAAUUAGGGCUUUCGAAUCUGAUCAGUUUAACUCGAUCAUCGAGUGUUUGUUUGAUGUAACGAUUUGGGUUUUUUUCUUGCUAAAUUGAUGUUAAAAACAUGUCAAUUCGGGUUGAUUUGGUGAAACUGAUUGGGAGCAGCAGUCGGUUAGGGUUAGAAGGGGGUGUUGAUGGUCGAUUAUGGGUGCAAGGGGGAGUGGUGCAACGAUGUUGGUUGUGGUGGUUUCGCAGCGGUGAAGAUGAGUGGAGGCGGUGGUUGGCUGCACGGAUAUGGUAGUAGAUGGGUUAUAGGUGGGUGUGGUAUUCGUGCCAUUAGCAAAAGAGAUUUAAAAACAAAACUGAUGAUGCAACAAUAUCUUUACGAGAUUUGAUUAAAAUUUGAUUUACCAAGUGGAAUUCCCCUGUCGAAGGUUGAAGACAUGGAUCAUGGAGGAACUAUGUUUCCCUAUACAUGUAUCCAUACCGAUCUGGCCCAUUGAAAGACAUUUAUAAUUUUUGAGAUGGCAAUGGAUUCAAAACAAUCACUAUGCGGUUAGGAGGGGAUGUGAUUGUUGAUGUGAUUGUUUUCAGCCGUACAUAUUGGAACAAAUGACGGAGUUGAAGGUGGAUUAAUUGCUUUAUACGGGAACAUCUAGAAAGCUGUGGAAGUUAAUUCAUCAAACAAGAAUAUUACAGUUAUAAUUGAUGAUAUUUCUCUUCUGGAAGUGGCUGCUAAUGGUUCUACAAAAGACAUUCUAAAUUUGAUGCAUUACUACCAUACAUUAACCACACAGUUUGUAAGACACCAUUUGAUCUUCAUUCUGAGACAUAUAAGCAUGUUGAUUUGAAUGUUUUAACUUAUUUUUUGUUUUGAGAGGGUUGUACGAUAAUUACUGUUCUUCCUGAGGACAUUUAUUCAAGUGGAGAUGGAUUUACAUUUCCUUUACAAAUGGAGUACCUUGCUGACAUCACCAUAAACCGAGCCUUUGAUAACCGGGUUGGCAGCAAAUGUUCACGGGCAGAUUUUGACUUCUCACUAAACAACCAAUACCUUGCGUCAUCUUCACUGGAUAAAACUGUGAGGGCAUGGGAUAUUCCAAAUGGUCUUUGCAUACGAGUUAUAUAUGGAUUUACCUCCCAGCUUUGUAUUCGAUUUCAUACGGUAUUCAAUUUUAGUACAGGAAUAUUAAUAAGUAAGAUAGUUGUUGACGGUGAGGUUUAUGCCCUCAAUUAUGACCAUAUGGGCCAGUUUAUAUUCUGCGGGGAUUCACAGACAUCUGGCUGGAGGAGACCUUUCCACAUUAGGGAUGAAAGAACUGAAGUAACUCGACAGCUGAGGAUGGGGGUCGAUCGUGUACGCUCUAGAAAGUAAUUGUGGUGGUGGUGCCCUUUGAUUGGUUGAACUGGUGGUUGCCUAUGAUUUCUCCACACGGUGCAUAAGGAGCUCAGCUACAUGUGGUUUUAUAUGGCUUAACGUACAAGCGUCUAGGAAGCUACAAGUGCAACAAGUGCUUAACGCUGCAUGAUAAUGAGGGGAAUUACUUAUACACAUACAUGGGAAACGACCUCGGGCUAAUUUGCCAAAGAUAGCUGCUCAUGGGGCGAAAUAUGCACUGGCACAGUCGUUGCCGCAUAAGCGUAGCAUCAGUCUAACUCAGAUCAUGAGUAUCUCAUGGCACUUAUAGCACUUAUAGGGUCUGGAUUCUGGAAUAGAUGUCAUGGUUGGGGUCUCUAAUGAUCGGUUCGCUACUGUUAGUUCGUCUACUGCUGCUUCUGAUUUGUGGGUUGCUUAGAAUGUCACAAGAUAGAUGGUUAAAAGUGGAGCUGAUAUUAAGUAUGCCUGAUCUAUGAUACCCUUUUCGUAGUUUUGUUUGUGUGGGUUGUUUGUUAUGAUGGAGUAUGCUGGUUUGUUUUCAUCUGGAAGUUUAGAUGAUGGACUGGUUGCUUUUUUUGGCGGACUGUAAAUCGAGUGGUUUUGAAAUGAUAUUAUUAAGUGAUGCCUUUGUAAACAUUUAGUAAAGAUGUUUGUUUGAGAUUAAUUUAUAAAGUUAUAUCUUCCGAUUACACUA